rnacentral:sRNA from 1 species
UACAAAGUAUUAAGCGCUUUCAAAUAGUGCUAAUCCAUUCAAAAAGGGGUAUGGAAAUGGGAACAAUCGUGUGUCAAACCUGCAACGGAACGAUCGAUCAUUUUGAAGAUGAAAAGGUCAGUGUUUUGUACGGAAAAUGCACAAGCUGCGAUUGCCAAGUACUAGAGAGAGAAAUGACAGUUAUUCAAGGGGUUUAAAUAGAAGAUUGAAAAGCAUGCAGGGGGGCCUGCAUGCUUUUUU